rnacentral:rRNA from 1 species
UACGUAGGGACCAAGCGUUGUCCGGAAUUAUUGGGCGUAAAGAGCUCGUAGGCGGCCGUUCACGUCGGAUGUGAAAGCUCGGGGCUCAACCCUGAGAGGCCAUUCGAUACGGGACGGCUAGAGGUAGGUAGGGGAAAGUGGAAUUCCUGGUGUAGCGGUGAAAUGCGCAGAUAUCAGGAGGAACACCUAUUGCGAAGGCAGCUCGCUGGGACGUAACUGACGCUGAGACGCGAAAGCGUGGGGAGCAAACAGG